rnacentral:lncRNA from 1 species
CUCUGGGCUCUGGGUGCUGCUUUCCCAGUGCUUCCACUGGGUCCCACUGCCUCCUUGCCCACUUGUAGGCAAUCUAGGCACAGUCUUUAAAACACAGGGGCCCCAAAGAGCCAGGUGCCUGGGAAGCAGAGUCCCCAGCAGAGGUGAGGAGGGGAGGGCUCUUCCGCUUGGUGGGCAGGAUCUUCCUGCAAUACCCAUCGAGGGCAACAAUAGGAUCAGUGGCAUCUGCUCAGGGUGGAGACACUGUGCCCUGAAACAGCAGUUGGCGAAUGGCAGAGGGACCAGGAGACCGCAAAGGAACGGAAUCAUGAGUGCCCUGGGCCUCCCUGCUGCCAGGCUGAGCCAGGCCAGGUCCCUGAGAAGCAGCCAUCUGGCUUCAAGGCUCUGCCACAGAACCGAAGCAGCCCUGUUGUGAGGGCACAACUGCCGAGGAAAUGCCCUGGGAGCCCAGGCCCUGCCUCUUAAAGGUCUCUGACAACAGCAAGGGCUACAGACUGAGCCUUCAAUCUAUGUUCUUCUGGUAGACAGUGGAAGGUCCAAACUGUAAGUGUUGUAUAGUUUGGCCUUUCAUCUUUAGGUCUGUAACUUCACCUGUCUCACUUCUGUGUGUAGUGUGGAAAGAGUUCUAAUUUUUUCCAUAUAAAGCAAUUAUCCUAGCACCAUUUACUAUACAGCCCAUCCUCUCUUCACACUGCAUCACAGUGGCAUCUUUGUUAGACAUUGAGUCCCCACAGCACAGGUCUGCUGGGCAGGGGACCCCAUCCUACAGCUCAUGGGCCCAGGUGUGAUAAUAUCAGACCAUCUGCACUGCUACUGCUUUUAUAUGGAGCUGCUACUACAUACAGUGAUACCUCUCGCUGUCAAACUCAAUUCCUUCAAAAUUCAUGUUUCAACAUCGCAAAGUUUGAGAACUGAACGUAUUUUUCCCACAAGAAAUAAUGGAAAACCAAAUAAUUGCUUCUGAG